rnacentral:rRNA from 1 species
GUAGGUGGCAAGCGUUGUCCGGAUUUAUUGGGUUUAAAGGGUGCGUAGGCGGUUUUCUAAGUCAGCAGUGAAAUACGGCAGCUCAACUGUCGAGGUGCUGUUGAUACUGGGGAACUUGAGUACUGAUGAGGUAGGCGGAAUGGACGGUGUAGCGGUGAAAUGCUUAGAGAUCGUCCAGAACACCGAUAGCGAAGGCAGCUUACUAAGGAGUAACUGACGCUGAGGCACGAAAGUGUGGGGAUCAAACAGGAUUAGAUACCCUGGUAGUCCACACUGUAAACGAUGAUUACUCGAUGUGUGCGAUACACGGCACGCGUCUUAGCAAAAGCGAUAAGUAAUCCACCUGGGGAGUACGCCAGCAACGGUG